GACGAACGCUGGCGGCGUGCCUAACACAUGCAAGUCGAACGAGGUCCAUGCAGUGGCAACACUGCGGAAGACCUAGUGGCGAACGGGUGAGUAACACGUGAGGAACCUGCCCCGAAGACCGGGAUAACCCUCCGAAAGGAGAGCUAAUACCGGAUAUCCCCAUCGGAUCGCAUGAUCUGAUGAGGAAAUGGAUUCCGCUUCGGGAGGGCCUCGCGGCCUAUCAGCUUGUUGGCGGGGUAACGGCCCACCAAGGCAUCGACGGGUAGCUGGUCUGAGAGGACGAUCAGCCACACUGGGACUGAGACACGGCCCAGACUCCUACGGGAGGCAGCAGUGGGGAAUCUUGCGCAAUGGGCGAAAGCCUGACGCAGCAACGCCGCGUGGGGGAUGAAGGCUCUCGGGUUGUAAACCCCUUUCAGCAGGGACGAAUCAAGACGGUACCUGCAGAAGAAGCCCCGGCUAACUACGUGCCAGCAGCCGCGGUAAAGUACAGUGU
rnacentral:rRNA from 1 species